AAUAUUAGUCAAUGCUCGCAAGAGUGAACUAGCUAACUGAAAUCAUUAUGAGUCAUUAAUUUGGUGAUUAUGAUAACAUAAGGGAAAAAAAAUGAUAUUACCUUAUUAUUAGUGUUGUCCAAAACUGGUGCCAGAAGACUCGGUAAGACCAGAGACGCAAACGUUAGUCAUCUUAAUCAGGCGUAAAGGGUGUGUAGGCUGCUUUAAAAGUUUAAAUCUUUUUAAUAGCUCUUUUGCCGUUGUCCUGCCAUUAUUUAUUUUAUUUAUAAAAUAAUAAACAAUAAUGAAUAUAAAGGCAGUACAUUUUUAAUUUUAUUAAUAUUAAUUUAAUUUAAUAAUUAUAAAGGGGACAAAAAAGAUAUCCCGGUUUAAGUAAAAAGAAUAAAAUGAAUUAAAGCUAGAAUCAAAUUGAGGAUAAACCAAAUAAUACUUAGAGUAGGGCCGAUAUCCGCAGAUACUAAGGGGAAUACUAAAGGUGAAAGCUUUUUAUCUACUAUUGAUUGACGCUGAGAAACGAAGGUGAGAACAGGAAAUAGGAUUUGAUACCCAGAUACCUCUCACUGUCAACGAUGAAUGGUGGUUGUUAGUUUUAAUAAAAACUGGUAACGAUGUUAACACGAUAACCAUUCCGCCUUGCGAGUACGGUUGCAAAACUGAAACCAAAAAAAUUAGUCGGUUUCGAAGCAAACGAAGUGAAGCAUGUUAUUUAAUUC
rnacentral:rRNA from 1 species